rnacentral:tRNA from 1 species
AAAAGAUUAGUUAAAUUAUAACAUUAGAGUGUCAGACUAAAAUUAUUGAAUAAAUCAGUAUCUUUUG